ensembl:lncRNA
CCCACUUAAAAAGAUGAGAGAGGCCUGUAAUUUUCAUCAUAGGUACACUUCAACUAUGACAGACAAAAUGAGGGAAACAAUCCAGAAAAUCACAUUGUAGGAUUUUUAAUGAAUUUAUUUGCAAAUUAUGGUGGAAAAUAAGUAUUUGGUCAAUAAAAUGUAUCUCAAUACUUUUAUAUACUCUUUGUUAGCAAUGACAGAGGUCAAACGUUUUCUGUAAGUCUUCACAAGGUUUUCACACACUGUUGCUGGUAUUUUGGCCUAUUCCUCCAUGCAGAUUGCCUCUAGAGCAGUGAUGUUUUGGGGAUGUUGCUGGGCAACACGGACUUUUAACUCCCUCCAAAGAUUAUCUAUGGGGUUGAGAUCUGGAGACUGGCUAGGCCAAUCCAGGACCUUGAAAUGCUUCUUACGAAGCCACUCCUUCGUUGCCCGGGCGGUGUGUUUGGGAUCAUUGUCAUGCUGAAAGACCCAGCCACAACUUUUCAUCUUCAAUGCCCUUGCUGAUGGAAGGAGGUUUUCACUCAAAAUCUCACGAUACAUGGCCCCAUUCAUUCUUUCCUUUACACGGAUCAGUCGUCCUGGUCCAUUUGCAGAAAAACAGCCCCAAAGCAUGAUGUUUCCACCCCCAUGCUUCACAGUAGGUAUGGUGUUCUUUGGAUGCAACUCAGCAUUCUUUGUCCUCCAAACACGAUGAGUUGAGUUUUUACCAAAAAGUUAUAUUUUGGUUUCAUCUGACCAUAUGACAUUCUCCCAAUCUUCUUCUGGAUCAUCCAAAUGCUCUCUAGCAAACUUCAGACGGGCCUGGACAUGUACUGGCUUAAGCGGGGGGACACGUCUGGCACUGCAGGAUUUGAGUCCCUGGCGGCGUAUAGUGUGUUACUGAUGGUAGGCUUUGUUACUUUGGUCCCAGCUCUCUGCAGGUCAUUCACUAGGUCCCCCCAUGUGGUUCUGGGAUUUUUGCUCACUGUUCUUGUGAUCAUUUUGACCCCACAGGGUGAGAUCUUGCAUGGAGCCCCAGAUCGAGGGAGAUUAUCAGUGGUCUUGUAUGUCUUCCUUUUCCUAAUAAUUGCUCCCACAGUUGAUUUCUUCAAACCAAGCUGCUUACCUAUUGCAGAUUCAGUCUUCCCAGCCUGUUGCAGGUCUACAAUUUUGUUUCUGGUGUCCUUUGACAGCUCUUUGGUCUUGGCCAUAGUGGAGUUUGGAGUGUGACUGUUUGAGGUUGUGGACAGGUGUCUUUUAUACUGAUAACAAGUUCAAACAGGUGCCAUUAAUACAGGUAACGAGUGGAGGACAGAGAAGCCUCUUAAAGAAGUUACAGGUCUGUGAGAGCCAGAAAUCUUGCUUGUUUGUAGGUGACCAAAUACUUAUUUUCCACCAUAAUUUGCAAAUAAAUUAAUUCAAAAUCCUACAAUGUGAUUUUCUGGAUUUUUUUUCUCAUUUUGUCUGUCGUAGUUGAAGUGUACCUAUGAUGAAAAUUACAGGCCUCUCAUCUUUUUAAGUGGGAUAACUUGCACAAUUGGUGGCUGACUAAAUACUUUUUUGCCCCACUGUAUAAAAAAAAAAAAUAUAUAUAUAUAUAUAUAUAUGUGUGUGUGUGUGU